rnacentral:rRNA from 1 species
UACAGAGGGUGCAAGCGUUAAUCGGAAUUACUGGGCGUAAAGCGCACGUAGGCGGUUUUUUAAGUCAGAUGUGAAAGCCCCGGGCUCAACCUGGGAAUUGCAUUUUAAACUGGGAAACUAGAGUGUGUGAGAGGGGGGUAGAAUUCCAAGUGUAGCGGUGAAAUGCGUAGAGAUUUGGAGGAAUACCAGUGGCGAAGGCGGCCCCCUGGCACAACACUGACGCUCAGGUGCGAAAGCGUGGGGAGCAAACAGG